rnacentral:rRNA from 1 species
GAUCCUGGCUCAGGACGAACGCUGGCGGCGUGCUUAACACAUGCAAGUCGAACGGACAGACAGAGAGCUUGCUCUCUUGAAGUUAGUGGCGAACGGGUGAGUAACGCGUAAUCAACCUGCCCCUUCAGAGGGGGAUAACAACGGGAAACCGUUGCUAAUACCGCGUACGAUUCAUAAGCGGCAUCGCUUGUGAAUGAAAGGUGGCCUCUAUUUAUAAGCUAUCGCUGAAGGAGGGGAUUGCG